rnacentral:rRNA from 2 species
UACAGAGGUCUCAAGCGUUGUUCGGAUUCAUUGGGCGUAAAGGGUGCGUAGGUGGCAUGGUAAGUUGAAGGUGAAAUCUCGGGGCUCAACUCCGAAACUGCCUUCAAUACUGCUGUGCUCGAGGACUGUAGAGGAGAAUGGAAUUCACGGUGUAGCAGUGAAAUGCGUAGAUAUCGUGAGGAAGACCAGUGGCGAAGGCGAUUCUCUGGGCAGUUCCUGACACUGAGGCACGAAGGCUAGGGGAGCAAACGGG